rnacentral:rRNA from 1 species
GCAAGUCGAGGGGCAGCAUUUCUAGCUUGCUAGAAGAUGGCGACCGGCGCACGGGUGCGUAACGCGUAUGCAACUUACCUUUAACUGGAAGAUAUCCCAAAGAAAUUUGGACUAAUACUCCAUAACAUCACGAAUUCGCAUGUUUUUGUGAUUAAAGCUCCGGCGGUUAAAGAUAGGCAUGCGUCUGAUUAGUUUGUUGGUGAGGUAACGGCUCACCAAGACUACGAUCAGUAGGGGGCCUGAGAGGGUGAAC